rnacentral:tRNA from 1 species
GGGCGUAGCGCAGCCCGGUUAGCGCACCUGCCUUGGGAGCAGGGGGCUUGUCCGUGCAACUGCAAACGCACGAAUGGCUUGUAAUCUGCCCA